rnacentral:rRNA from 1 species
GACGUAGGGCGCGAGCGUUGUCCGGAUUUAUUGGGCGUAAAGAGCUCGUAGGCGGUUUGUCGCGUCGGCCGUGAAAACUCACAGCUUAACCCCGAGCCUGCAGUGGAUACGGGCAGACUAGAGGUAGGUAGGGGAGAAUGGAAUUCCCGGUGUAGCGGUGAAAUGCGCAGAUAUCGGGAGGAACACCGGUGGCGAAGGCGGUUCUCUGGGCCUUACCUGACGCUGAGGAGCGAAAGCGUGGGGAGCGAACAGG